CCGUCCCGGCCCCGCCGGGAAACCGAGUGAGGCCCGAGCGGAACGGGGCCGCCCCUCGGCCGCCGCUGGGAGAGGCGGGGGCGCCUUCCUGCCGGGCGGGGCGGGACGGACUCCGGUGGGAGGGCCGAGCGGUGCCGGGUCCGCCGCUGGGGCUGGGGGGGGAGGGGAGAGCGGGAGGUGCUGCUGUCCCGGUGGUGUCCCGCGGGUAACGAGAAACGCAAAACAAAGGGAUUCAGCCGAAAGUUUGCGCCACGCUGGAUGCACAAAACAACCAGACCCGACUCCUCACCCGCAUGGCUCUCACGCCCGCUUUGUUCUGUGCGCGGCUGCGCGCUGGGCGGAGCUGCUCCGAAUGCGGCCGCACCUGUGCGGGUGGAGGCACGGGGCUGCCCCUCCGCGUUGGUCGCGGGUGGAGGACUGGUGUGCAGGCAGAACUGCCGUGGGAGACAGCUUUCCCGCUGUCGUCUAGGUUGUGUUUGCUGACAAUGCUAUGGCACUCCACCUGUAGUUUGAAUGUAUUUUAUUCCUGAGCAAUACAGAAAUAACGGGAGGAGGGCUCUGUUCAGAACUGGAUCACUUUCAGGACGUCGUGUCAUUGCUGCAGAAACACUGAUGCGUAACUGAGAAUAACAAGGAUGGGAAGUCAACUCUUGACAGUGAGUACCGAUGCCCAGUCAGUUCCAGUUCUGAUCUCAUCUUGUCCUGCAGCAUGCUUCCCACAGUUCUGGCCCCUGCUCCACGUUACCAGUUACGGCUGACCUCUGUUUGCAUGAAGCAAGAAGUGUGAUAGCCGUACUGCUAGCCAGCACUUCUGCUGCUAGAGUCUCAUUUGUCUGAUCUACUGUUACACAUCUGGAGACAUGUCCAAGAAGUACCCGUAAGUGCCUACCCUUAGUGCCCUGAAGAUACUUUGCAUGGGGCAGCUUCACAGUGUUGUGUAGAGAUUUGCAUCUGGAAUCAAGGUCAGGUAUUUGGAGCAAUGUGCUAUGCAGCUGACUUUCAGUUUAUAAG